CUUUGGUACUUAGAAGAGGGAAAUUUGGAUGCUGAACAAGACAAUCACAGGGCCAGUGUCCCAGUUUAAAGUCAGAUGAAUGUUGGGUAAAAUUAUAAAAAUAGAAACUGCCUUAGGACAGUAAUAAAAACAUUCAACAUUGUCUUUCAAGGUGACCAGGGUCUCUAUUUCUAAAUGCAGGGUGCUGCGAGGGAAGAACACUGUUAAGUGAGCCAUGUGAGUGAGGGAUUUAUCUCCUGCUUAUGAAACAGUCAGCUCCUUUCUCAGCUUCAAAGAGAACAAAAGUCUGUUUUGUAACAAUUCCCUGGAGGCCUUUAGAGUUUCUACUUAAGAUAUAUUUAAUCCCUCCUGCUAAAAUAUGACUGCCUUCAAGUCUCCCCUCCAAUUCAUAUGGACAGAAAGGCUGGAAAUGGGAGAAUCUCCCUGUGAAUGAUUGACCAAGACAGUCAUAGAAGCUGUGUAAAUUGGGAGAGUUCCAAAAUUACUUGCAACCCAAUGACAGCUCUGGAGAAGAUAUCACUGCCAAAGAAAAUGAAAGCAGCCUGGAAAUAUAAGCAUAAGACAGAGAAAAUACAACAGUCAGGGCAGAGAAUGUUAGCUCCAGGAAAAAAAUUGAAGAGAGGAAAAGGUCUGAAGAGCUCUUAUGUCAAGUCUAGAUUCUUUUCAGCUCUUUGUUAAAGCACCAAGAUAAACAGACCAGGGUGAACCUACUGGAAAAACAAACACAUGUGUAUACUUUAGACAUUGGAAAUAAGACAUCUGAUCAUCAAAACAAGCAUCAGCUGUGUGUGACUCUUUUGGCUCUCUGAAGAUCAAGAAGUCAAAUGGGUUUAAAGACUGGCUCUACUGUUAAGAGGACUUUGGGAGCCCAUUCACUAUGGAGGGAUACUAUUGCAGCCCAGAUACAGCAAGGAGGGCCUAGGCCCUCCCCCAAAUGAUAUGACAGACUUGGAAGGUCCCUUGUGGAGGACCUCACUAUCCCUGGGGAGAAGUUAGGGGGUUGGGAGUAACAUGGGAGGAUGGGAAGUCAAGGGAAUGGGGGGAUGGAUAUGUAAAUAUCAGUAGUAAUUAAAGAAUUAAAAAAAAGAAGUCAAAUAGUUCAAUUGGAAUUGCUGAACCAGCGUCAUGAGUUUGCUUUCAUAGUGGCAUUGUUCACUCUCCAGGGAGGCCCUUAAAACGGGAAAAUUUCCCUCACCCUAAAGUCCAGCUGCUGCAAACUAAAACCUAGUGGAAUGUCUCAAGCACACCAUGUGGUACCUAAUCACCUACUAUUGAGAUCUGCUGGUCCAUGUUGACCACUGUAGGAAGCAGCAGAUAUUUCUCACUCUUAUACCAGAAAAUUCUGGACAGUAGUCUAUGUUUGCUUAUGGACACUUGGAAUCACACCUUCCAUCUCUUGCAUAAGCAUCUACCCAUCAACCACUCGCACUCUGGCAUGCCAGGGCAUCCUUGUAUUGUCUGCUUCUUUUAAGUCUUAUUGUUCCCAUCAAGCAGAAUGAUGCAACUGUGAGAUAGAGGGAAUACACUAUUGAAUUAUUUAUUUUCCAUUUUCUGUUAUAGUUACCCAAAACCUUGUUUAUUAUUAUUUUGUUCUGAGAAAUUUUUGCCAUCUGCAGGUGUCCACAAAGGCGAGAAGAGGGCAGUAGAUCCCCUGAAAUUAUAGAGAUACAAGUGGUUG
rnacentral:lncRNA from 1 species